AAUAACACCACUAUAAACACAACAUGACACAAAGGGUGUAAAAAUGGCAGCGCCCAUGAGGUCGCACCCUUUCUUGGAUGCGCACUCGUCGAUCACCGAUCUCCUCUCUCCAUGUCUCUGGAUAUGCACCACGGAGAAAACGUCAUUUCAAUUGAAUUUUGAUAAAAUCGAAGACCAGACCCAAAAAUAUAAGUAAAGUGGAGUGGCACUCCAGUGUGAAAUUGUCAAAAAUUUCUUUUAUUUGUGUGCUGAUUUGACAUGUUGUGCUAAUUAAUUGCGAUGCGAUACGUUCAUGUUUAAAUAACCCCAGAUACCAAAUUAGAUCUAGAUUCAGAACUGCCAUCUUGGAGCAGUAAUAUUUAAAAAAGUUUUAGAGAAAACAACUAUAAAUCUUUAUUUCGGAUGUGCUACGGUGGUUGAUACGCCUUAGUCCUAGAGAGUUCUUUUAAAAUAUUAAGAAUUUUUGUCGUAUCUACUUCAAAUUUAGAAUGUUCGUCAAUGUAUAAAAGAAGAAUAUGUGCGUCAUCAGGCGACUUGCACCUGCAGUUAUUAUAAUGUUAUUUAUUUCCAAACGCAAUUUAUUUGCGUGCGAAUCGCCAGUAGGUAAGUGCGAUCGUGUGCUCCGCAAGUGUGAGACGCGUUUCUACUGAUUCCACGUGAAAUGGGUGAGAUUUUAUUAUUAAUUAACAUAUUGGGUUUGUUUUCUUGCAAAUGAAUAAUGGAUCACCAUACUCUUGGACACGUUAACGUUAAUUUUAAACUUGGAGACGGCGAGGGGCGUACCUCUAGCUGAACCUAGCCGGUGCUUAAGUGAAUUUCGUUGAGUGGGUACAAUACAAAUGACUUUUCCCAGCAAGAACCGAGGAACAGUUGUGAGGAGUGCGAUUCCAGAUUCCAUUUCGAACCAGAUUUUCAGUAUCUACUCCAGCCCAGCCGCAGUCUUGAAAUACUGUUUAGUGUUUUGCACGCUGCGGUGGUGGCAGACAUUUUAUUGGUAAAUUCCAUAAGUUAUUUUAAUGCAGGGUGCAGCGGGCCAUACGGAUGAUACAUACAUUUUUGGUUGGCCACUGGCAAAGAUUCAUUUUUUAAAGAGUAUAAUAGAACUUUAAAAUGAAACACAACACAUAAAAAUAAUGGCAAUGUCCAUGGUAUUGGCUUUAUUGUGUGUCAUGUUGCACCGUCUUGUUGAAACCAAAACUUAUACAUAUUAACGCCAUUAUUGUGAAACGAAAAAGUCAACAAUCAUGGACCUAUAAAGCUCUCAAUUAACUGUCACGUUCUGACCAAGAUGGCAAGAUUAUCUUCGCAGAAAUAUGAUUCCACCAGUCCAUAAAGUACACCAAACAGUUACUUUUGUGUGGAUGUAAUGGAGUUGCAACAAUGGCUUCUGGAUUGUCAUCACUCCAAAUCAUACACGAACAAAAUCUUAAAUUUACCUCUGAGGAGGGCAAGACAGUCUCAAGCAGUACCUACCUAAUUGCAAGCCAUCCAAAACGACGAUACUAUCCCGAAACAAUGCGAAGAUCGAAUACCCUUCGAAUGUAUAGAGCGCCGUAUUUGGAUAAAGUUGCUAAGGUCGCUGAUCUACACUGAGGUUGUGGGCAAACAUUCGUUUAGAUAAUACCUGCACGUCUGAAGGUCCCUGAGAUUUGGAAGCUUAGGAACCACAACCAAAACAAGAUUGGCGACAAAAGAUAGUUAUUUAUUUUUCAACUUAUCGUUACAAAAAGAAACUUAUUGCAUGUAAUAUGUCUCUAGAAUAAUUGUACUAGUGUCAAACCACUGGGUUGUGGUAGCACGAGUCAUGAAUGACAACGGACCAAAAGCUUAGGUGAUAGGUGAAAGCUCAGAGAUGAUGAAUCCGUAUGAAAAAUCAAAUGGGCGUGGUUGCCUUACUGCACCUUUUGCUGAGGAUGCCCCUAAAACAAUAAAAACAUGUUCACGCUAUAUUAUAAAUUGUGAUUUAAAAUGUACUUUGUUAAUAAAUUUACUCACCGCCAGA